GAAUAUACAUAGUAGGUCUAAUUCCAUGUUCAUUUAGCUGCCAUUUAAACAUUUGAGUCCUGGCCUAAGGCUCUCUUUGACCAUCUUCAAGUGCUCCGGUCAGUUUUCAAAAGAUACAGCGAAGCUCACUGCUCUCAACCCUUACCUCUCAGCGCCGUGCCCUCUUCUCUUCCCAGGGAUUCCCCCUCUAUAUUCCUUUCUGGGCUCUGGGUCCUCCUGAUCUUUGCAUUUUGUUCACCAUCAAACUUUGUUUCUUUUUGAGAGCUGAAACUGGAGUGGAAAUGACUAUUAAUUUAAUAUCCUUACUCUGGCCUAGAGGCCAACAUGAUUUCCUCCCAUCAACAUUCUGCUCUGAGCUCCUAUCACCCCCAUUAGCCUCUCCAGCCCCACUGGUCUCUGCUGUUUCUCAAACACUCCUGGGACUCAUGCUUCAGGGCUUUAGCAUUUGCUUUCUCUCUGUCUGGAAGGACCUUCCCCACAUGGAUUCUGAUGGCACCGGGGUUAAUCCAUUCUCACAGUGCUAUAAAGACAUGCCUGAGACUGGGUCAUUUAUAAAGAAAAGAAGUUUAAUUGACUCACUGCUCUGCAUGGCUGGGGAGGCCUCAGGAAACAUAAUCAUGCCAGAAGGUGAAGGAGAAGCAAGUACCUUCUUCACAAGGUGGCAGGAGAGAGAGAGUGAAGGAAGCCACACACUUUUAAACCUUUAGAUCUUAUGAGAACUCACUCACUAUCACAAGAACAGCACAGGGGAAACCGUCCCCAUGAUCCAAUCACCUCCCACCAGUUCCUUCCCUCGACACAUGGAGAUUACAAUUUGAGAUGAGAUUUGGAUGGGGACACAGAGCCAAACCAUACCAGAACCCUAACCUCCUUGAGGCUUUUGCUCCACCUUCUUACUAGAGCGACCUUGUCUGACCACCCUGUAUAUUUCCUUUCUAUUUCCAUUCAUGGCAUUUAUUACCUCUUGGUGUUUAUAAGCUUCUUCAUGUACUGUCUUUCUACCCCUAUUAGAAUAUCAUCACUAGAGGGCAGGGAAUGUGUCCAUUUUGUUUUCU
rnacentral:lncRNA from 1 species